UAUUGAGCAAAUGACAAUAUAUUAUAAGAGAAAUAUUUGAAAAUCACAAUACAUUUUAUAUGACGUUUCCCUCGCAAAAAUACACUUAUCAAUUCAGAGAUGGAGGAGGGAGUACAUGGAGUAAGAUCUCACAAGGUUCAAAUUGGACACUGCGUUCCACUAAAAAGAGGCGCACUUUCCAAUUAUAUCGCCGGUCACUCUCUGCUUCAAGUACCAUUAUUGCAGCCACAUUCUGAACUCGGGUUUGUAUGUGGAACCGGAGAUGGAGGUGAGCUCCGCAGCCUCCCUCCUGCACGCAGACCAGAGAGAUGAUGCACCAAAAAUACAUGUAAAUCAGCUGAUUAACGAGCUAUUGUGAACUGUAGAAACCAGGACUCCAGGUAACCUAUUAACCACCGGAGUGGCGUGAUGAGCAUAGUACGUAACUACGUAGUACCUUGCGCAGGCUCAACGUGCAAGGCGAGAAUGAUGAAGAACGCCGCCCCCAAGAUCGCCAAGAAGCGCAGGAGUACGAGCAAGGAGGGACGAGGCGGCUUCAUUUUAUCGAUCUUUUCGCUGUGCACCGCGGCUCUGUAUCUGAUCUAUGUCGUCUUUCGUGGAUGUGCAUCCAUGGUGCCUCGCUCUUCAAUUUGUAGGUCGCGGUGGCGGCUGCUGCAUGCUGUCCGCUGCGCCGCCAAUUCAAG
rnacentral:lncRNA from 1 species